AAGAAGAAUAGGAUCAAAAGAAAAAAAGAAAUGUUUUUUUUAAUUUUGCAACGAAAGAGGACUAAACCUAAGUUUUUUAUUAAUGGGCCUGACAAAAUUUACAAAUCCUGCUCCUACAUAUCUUUGGGGGCAAUACAAAACUCAAGGCUUACGUAGUUCUGGGUAGAAAAUGUUUGUUUGUUGGUCGAUUUUAGUGAAAG
rnacentral:lncRNA from 1 species